GCGACCCCAGGUCAGGCGGGAUUACCCGCUGAUUUUAA
rnacentral:rRNA from 1 species